GUUCUGAGUGGUUGGGAGAGCGUUAGACUGAAGAUCUAAAUGUCGCCGGUUCGAUCCCGGCUCAUGGCA
rnacentral:tRNA from 1 species